CCCUUUUGUUUCUCUCAAACCUCUCUUUGCCUCGCUCGCUCUCCGAUCUCCAGAGAACCUCUCUCUGCCUCGCUCUCCGAUCUCCAGUUCUCUCUGUGUCUCCUUUCUUCCAGAAAACACUCAAGUUAGUGAAAUUUGUUCGGAUCUUUUUGUCGGGGGCUACAGAUGGCAGCGCUCUCUUGCUGAAAAAUAGUGGUCUCGAUUUAAAGAAAAUUUGAAGCCCAUAAAAGAUCGUGUUUACUGCUGCGGAUUUGGUGUGGUUUCAGGAGAUCGGGUUUUUCGAAUUUAUGACUUUUCUUUGAAGCCUGCGAAGACCUCUGUGUUUAAGAUAUGAAAUUUUCAGGCUUCAGAUCCCUUUCCACCGUUACUACCACCAAUUCACCCAUACCUCGGCUUUCUUUCCACGAUUCCUCAAAACGUUCAUAUCGUUACGUACACUCAAGAAUUCUCGCCCAUCGUUGAGAUUUUCUGUAUGGGUUUUGGUUCUUUUGGAUUUGGAAGGAGAUGGAGAUCGGAGUUCGUUGCUAUCAUCUAUUCAACUUAAAUUUUUGGGGAUUUGGUUUGAAUUUCUGGUAAUUAAUGCACUAGAAGGAUUCCUCUUUCAAUGGUGAUUUGUCUUUUGGACAUAUUCAUUGCAAGGACAAAUGAGAAGUAAUCAGAGGCUGUUGUACCUUACAUUAAGAGUGAACAGUUCAUUCUUUGCGAAGGACAAAACAGGAGACAAGGUUUUUUACUCCAUAUGGGACGGAGAGCUACACAACUUUUGCUACCGCAAUUGAUCGACAGAUAGUGAGCCAAAACAAAUCACAAAGGCAAACACACAACAGUUUGAUGAGGUGCUGUAAAAUUGCUGAAAAAGGCUGCUUCCUCAACAAUCAACAGUACUGGAGAAAACCUUUUAGCGUUGCAGUAAACUACUUUUCUCAUAUUUUGUUAUUCUAGAUAAUACAAUACAACUUCUGCAACUUUUGGUGUGUCUGCUGCAUAUAUAAAAUCUUUCAUAUGUAAAAAUCAUCAUUUCCUUUUCAAUGUAAAUAAUAUUAAUCUUUUAUCUCAUAGUCUUUACAUCUUUCAAACAUAA